rnacentral:lncRNA from 1 species
GAAAACCUUACAAAAGCAUUUUCCUUCUCCCCCCCACCAAAUUUCCCAAUGCAAUACAUUCCCCCAAAUCACCAACUCUCAGUCCGGCACCACCCUUUAGAAUACUCAGUCCUCAGUCCAUGAAGAGGAGAGGAGUCCUUGCACCAUAGGCUUCCCCUGGAAACACGCUGAAACCUCGUGUGCUUCCAUGUCACUCAGCACCGCCCAGAAAGUCCUUUUGCCAUUUGUGACAUCUUCCUUCCAUGCCCAGUGCUCUCACCACUGUGCAAGGACCAGAGCUGCUUUUAGGGUUGUCUUUUAAGGAUGCCUUGUCUCACUCUAAAAAGGCACAGUCUCUGCUUGGGGACAUCUGUCCCCCCCAUUUUUCCCACCCCCUGGGGCCGAGGGGUCCCCACGAUGAACCCUCCUGGUUCUGAGGCACUGCCUCCCCCUAAAUGCAGUCUCUGUGUCACAGGAAUAAAAAUGGUUCAGUCUAUGGCCACACAAGAAAAGUCCAGCCAAAAGGCCACUCCAUCAUCUCUCCCCCCAAUCAAGAGUCUUCUCCACUUCCCUCGUGGCCUAUUCCUUCUUAUCUCAUCUCUUAUCUCUCUUCUCAUUCAGCUUCAGGAGAAUCAGCAUUUUCAACGUUUCAAUCAUGCAGGAAAAGGGUUAAAAAUUUCAGUCUCUGUCUGUCCCAGAGCUCCGGCACUCCCACGCUGCCCUCCCGGGCACCUUCUCGCUGCACCCUCCCCUUCUCCUCCUGGGCCAGCCGCUAUCAAAUUCAGACGCCGGCUCUCCUCUCUCUCUCCUGGGGGGAAUGGCUGCCUGAUGUCUCUUGGGGCUCCUCCACCCUUCCGUCCUCAAGGGCCUCCUCACCCCCCAUCUCUGUCCAGGCCCAGGCCUAACACAUGGCUGCCCCUCCCCUGCCCAGCAGCAGCAGCUGGACAGGGGAGGCAGAUCCCACCUCUUUGCCUCGAAGUCCCAAGAGAGCUUGCCAGGGCCGCAGCUCUGGUUUUUAACCCCUGUGUUUUCUCAGAGGCGGAUCUACUCGUCAGUGGUCGAACCAAAUGCCAAUUUUAAAAU